rnacentral:rRNA from 1 species
GAUAAACGCUGGCGGCGUGCAUGAGACAUGCAAGUCGAACGGACGAUCGAGGCUUGCUUCGAUCGUUAGUGGCGGACGGCUGAGUAACGCGUAGGUGACCUGCCCCGAAGUGGGGAAUAACUGCCCGAAAGGGUGGCUAAUACCGCAUGUGGUGGUGUGUUCAAUCACACCAGUAAAGCCGCAAGGCGCUUCGGGAGGGGCCUGCGUCCGAUUAGCUCGUUGGUGGGGUAACGGCUCACCAAGGCGACGAUCGGUAGGUGGUCUGAGAGGACGAUCACCCAGACUGGGACUGAGACACGGCCCAGACUCCUACGGGAGGCAGCAGUCGGGAAUUUUGCGCAAUGGACGAAAGUCUGACGCAGCAAACGCCGCGUGAGGGAUGACGGCCUGGU